GUUAAGUGACGAAGCGUAUACGGUGGAUGCCUUGGCAGUUAGAGGCGAUGAAGGACGUGUAAGUCUGCGAAAAGCUGUGGUGAGCCGACAAAAUGCAUUUGAGCCACAGAUGUCCGAAUGGGGAAACCCACCUGUUUACAGGUAUCGUUAACUGAAUACAUAGGUUAACGAGGCAAACGAGGGGAACUGAAACAUCUAAGUACCCCGAGGAAAAGAAAUCAACCGAGAUUCCGAAAGUAGCGGCGAGCGAAAUUGGACUAGCCCUUAAGCUUUACACGCGUUAGACGAACGGUCUGGAAAGGCCGACGAUACAGGGUGAUAGUCCCGUAGUUGACGACGUGUGUUCAGUGAAAUCGAGUAGGGCGGGACACGUGAUAUCCUGUCUGAAUAUGGGGGGACCAUCCUCCAAGGCUAAAUACUACUGACUGACCGAUAGUGAACCAGUACCGUGAGGGAAAGGCGAAAAGAACCCCUGUGAGGGGAGUGAAAUAGAACCUGAAACCGUAUGCGUACAAGCAGUCGGAGCGGACUUGUUCCGUGACGG
rnacentral:rRNA from 1 species